rnacentral:rRNA from 1 species
UACCAGCACCCCGAGUGGUCGGGACGAUUAUUGGGCCUAAAGCAUCCGUAGCCGGUUCUGCAAGUCCCCCGUUAAAUCCAGCUGCUCAACAGAUCGGGCCCGCGGAGGAUACUACAGAGCUAAGGAGGCAGGAGAGGCAAGGCGGUAGCUCAGUGGGUAGGGGUAAAAUCCGUUGAUCCAUUGAAGACCACCAGUGGCGAAGGCGGC